GAUGUAAAGGGUUUCUGUCGGAGCAGCGCUUUGUUACUGCUCUGCUCGUGUAACUCGGUAAACUUUACUAGUAAGGUUCAAAACAAAGGCUUCCAGGGAACUUUUAACGCAGACCUGGAUUUAUAUUGACUUACGUUCCUCUUAUGGUACCCUGGAGCACCUGUUCUCCCUUAUUGCCCAAUACUUGCUCGGCGUCGCAGUAAAUAGUCAUAGUUUUUCAUGAACUCUGAAUUUUGUGGUUUAUUUUUUUCUAGCUUUAAGAAUCUACAAGUGACCCUGAAGUUAAGUUGUAUACUGGUUCCCCCCAACUUGCCUCUGAUAUUUAGGGUGGGGUAGGUGCUAAAAUACCUGAGAAGACAGAUAAUUUUUGGUCCACUGAAAGACUAUGCAAGUUGGAAAAGGGUAAUCCUCCAAAGGAGGACACCUGAAGAGAAGCAGCUGGACACAGUAGUACAGUAGUUCAUUUCAGUCAUUUUCUUUGAGGCAAGCAUCCAAGUACAGGAGACAUCAAAAAGAACAACAGGACUAUCCUUUGAGGAGAGUGGGGAACCAGGAAAAGACCCUGGAAACCAUCUAUAACAAAAGAAUCCAGUGAUUUUGUUGUCUGUUGAAUGCCCAUUGAAAAGUGAAUGACAAAGCUGGGGUAAACAGGACUUUAGUAAUAUAAAAGUCUUGAAAGCUUUGAGAAGCAUCUCUUUGUGGCUAUUAAGAGAAUUUAACCCAAAUAAGAACAAAUUUAAGCCAAGUGAAGAAGUAUCCUCAAAGAACCUUAGGUACAAAGGAGGAGGCCAUUGUUGCUCCAUGGAACAAAAACGCAGUAGACUUGUGGUAAGAACUGUACUUCAGACAGCUUCCUCCUCUGCCUAAAAAAACAGUAAAUCAAUAUUUCAUAAUUAUCCCUCUAGUCUCUUGAGAAGGGUGCCUGGGAGAAAAGGGCCUGGGGCUGUCACAAGAAGAGCUCUUCAGUUAAACUUCCUUAAUUAAUCUGAGAGAGAAAAGGAGAAUACUGGUUCACUAUGAAAGAUACUGCUUCCCUCCCUCCCCCCACCCCCAGGAUCCCUUAAUGCAUAAUACAGAUUUUGUCUCCUUGAAAUAGUUAAGAGUCAUAGACUAUCUCGAGUUAGAAGGGACCCAUAAGGAUCAUCAGGUCCAACUCCCUGCUCCUCGCA